rnacentral:rRNA from 1 species
CCUACGGGUGGCAGCAGUGAGGAAUAUUGGUCAAUGGGCGCGAGCCUGAACCAGCCAAGUAGCGUGAAGGAUGACUGCCCUAUGGGUUGUAAACUUCUUUUAUAUGGGAAUAAAGUGUGGCACGUGUGCGGUUUUGUAUGUACGUUAUGAAUAAGGAUCGGCUAACUCCGUGCCAGCAGCCGCGGUAAUACGGAGGAUCCGAGCGUUAUCCGGAUUUAUUGGGUUUAAAGGGAGCGUAGGUGGGUUGUUAAGUCAGUUGUGAAAGUUUGCGGCUCAACCGUAAAAUUGCAAUUGAUACUGGCAGGCUUGAGUACAGUAGAGGUGGGCGGAAUUCGUGGUGUAGCGGUGAAAUGCUUAGAUAUCACGAAGAACUCCGAUUGCGAAGGCAGUCUACUGGACUGCGACUGACAUUGAGGCUCGAAAGUGUGGGUAGCAAACAGGAUUAGAUACCCCUGUAGUC